rnacentral:rRNA from 1 species
GAUGAACGCUAGCGGCAGGCUUAAUACAUGCAAGUCGAGCGACAGCACAGGUAGCAAUACUGGGUGGUAACAGGCAAACGGGUGCGGAACACGUACACAACCUCCCUUGAAGUGGGGGAUAGUCCAGAGCAAUUUGGAUUAAUACCCCGUAAUAUAGUUGAAUGGCAUCAUUUGAUUAUUAUAGCUACGGCGCUCAAUGAUGGGUGUGCGUGUGAUUAGAUAGUUGGCGGGGUAACGGCCAACCAAGUCUACGAUCAGUAGCUGAUGUGAGAGCAUGAUCAACCACGCGGGCAAUAAGACACAGGCCCGACUGCUACGGAAGGCAGCAGUAAGGAAUAUUGUUCAAUGGACGCAAGUCUGAACCAGCCAUGCCGCGUGAAGGAUUAAGGUCCUCUGGAUUGUAAACUUCUUUUAUUUGGGACGAAAAAGGGCCUUUCUAGGUCAGCUGACGGUACCAGAUGAAUAAGCACCGGCUAACUCCGUGCCAGCCGCCGCGGUAACAC